rnacentral:rRNA from 1 species
GACGAACGCUGGCGGCGUGCUUAACACAUGCAAGUCGAACGAAGAGCGAUGGAAGCUUGCUUCUAUCAAUCUUAGUGGCGAACGGGUGAGUAACGCGUAAUCAACCUGCCCUUCAGAGGGGGACAACAGUUGGAAACGACUGCUAAUACCGCAUACGAUCUAAUCUCGGCAUCGAGGAUGGAUGAAAGGUGGCCUCUACAUGUAAGCUAUCACUGAAGGAGGGGAUUGCGUCUGAUUAGCUAGUUGGAGGGGUAUCGGCCCACCAAGGCGAUGAUCAGUAGCCGGUCUGAGAGGAUGAACGGCCACAUUGGGACUGAGACACGGCCCAGACUCCUACGGGAGGCAGCAGUGGGGAAUCUUCCGCAAUGGACGAAAGUCUGACGGAGCAACGCCGCGUGAGUGAUGACGGCCUUCGGGUUGUAAAGCUCUGUUAAUCGGGACGAAAGGCCUUCUUGCGAAUAGUGAGAAGGAUUGACGGUACCGGAAGAGAAAGCCACGGCUAACUACGUG